UAGUCCACUGUGUACCUUCCACCGAUUUUCCCUAAGCAGAAAAAAAAAUAACCCUUUUAGCCAGACAGUUGAGGUGGGGGCUUUGUGGUGAGAGGUAGUGAGGGCAGAUCUUCCCCUGCCACUGAGAUCGAUCAUUUCCCUCAUUUAUAAAGGCACUUCUUCCUCCUAAGUGAAUAUAUAUAUAUAUAUAUAUAUUCAUUUAUUUUUUUGCACUGCAGGCCUGCAAAAAUUAUGACUUGGGCGACAGGAAGGGAAGGGGUUCAUGCUCCUCCUUUGCUGGCCUGAUGCCACUGGUCCCUCUCAGGGGCUUACCCUCCAACCCCAGGGACUCCUUAACCUAGGACACAUUGAGGGACCCUUGGCAAAGAUGCUCCUGUCCCCAAAUUCCUUAAAUUGCUGUACUGAUUGGGGACAGAUUUAUCAAGUUUUCAUGCACUACUUGAGUAUGUGAUAGACACAACCAAGGACCCCAAACUAAGUUGGAGGAAGUUUUCUUUCUUGUUACCUUUCCCUUUUCCUUUGUUUGUUUGUUUGUUGUCUUGAAAACAAAUUUAUUGUAGGUCCCUUCUUUUUCCUUUUUGGACUCCCAAUGGCUAAAUGGAAUUCAGAGCAGAGAGCAACUGUUGCAAUUGCUCGCAAGGCUGGAGCCGGUGAAGACACGAAUAAAGCAAAGGCAGCAAGUAGUGCUUGAAUUCUUCUGAUCUUUCCCAGCAUCUUACUGAGAUAAAUUAUUUUAAACAUUUGGUCACCUUUUGUGGUUUGAAACUUCAAUUCGAGUGGAUUCCAUUUCACACACUUACUGAGAAGCUUCAGGAGAAGCCUGGUCCUUUCCUAGGUGCAGAGGACACAGGAGAAAGCAAGACACCCAGAGGUCCUGUGGUCUCCACACUGGGGAUAUGCUUGCCUGCAGUUCACAGUCAAGCAGGGGAGGCAGAUAAUACAAACAAGCAAUGACCUUGAAGCCUGAGAGCCUGUGGCUGUCAGGAGAGAAAUUCACUCCAGCUGGCCCGGAAAAGUGGGGAAUUGUUAGGGUACAGAGAGCUUCACGGGGUGUGUUGCUCACCGGGAAGCUGUGAGGAUGGGAACAGCUCUUGUGGACUAUGUAGGACAAUGUGGCCGCCUGCCACUCGAACCUUCCCUUACACCGCAUGCCCCUCUGUGCUCAUGCGUGAGGCCUCCAGCCUCCAUAUCUGCCCCCGGCAGAGCUGACUCCUGCUCUCACUUGCCGAAGGACUUGACAGCUGCAUUGAAAAGCCUCCCGUGGACUUCACCACAAUCUUUAAAAGACUUUUUUGGAUCUUUUAUUUAUUUUUGAGAGAGGGACAGAGAGUGCGCAGGGGGAGGAACAGAGAGAG